GGGAACCGUCCAGUUUGCACCGAGUCGACCCAGUUCAGAACCAACCCCCCUUACCCCUUGCAUUUUUUGUUAAAAGGUGUUGGAAAAUUCUUCCCAGCAUCUUCUCCUCUGUUUAGUUUAGAUCUUAUCCCCAAUUUGCAAAAUUACAGCGAUUCAGCACAAUUGAAGGAAGAUCCAAACCUAAAUAAGGUGUACUUCCUCUUCCCUAUCUCAUGUUCUCUAUUUUUCGGGGCUCGAAAAAAUAGCUAAUUUACAAAAUAAGGAAAGAUCGUGUCAAAAUUUUUGAUUUAGGCUUCAUAUUACAAUAUAUUGUAAUCUAUGGAUGAGCUACACAAUGACAUAAAGAAUUUAAUUUUUUAUUAUAUAUAAUUUUUAAAAAAUUAAAAAUAUAUUUUUGAAUUAAAAAUGAUUAAUAUAUAUAAUAAAAUUUUAAAAAAAUUGUAAAAUCAGAAGCGUAUUUAGGGGCAUGCAAGCUACUCUCCAAAAAAAUUUGGUGUCUAUUUAUUUAAAUUUUGAUGUGAUCAUGUACACAGUGACCUAGACCUAAAUUUGAAAAAAAAUAAAAAAUAAAUAGCCUUAAAUGCAUAUCCACAGGCCUAAAAAAAUAUAUGUAGCAUCCAUUAUUGGAUUCUAU
rnacentral:lncRNA from 1 species